rnacentral:rRNA from 1 species
UACAGAGGUCUCAAGCGUUGUUCGGAUUCAUUGGGCGUAAAGGGUGCGUAGGCGGCGCGGUAAGUCGGGGUGUGAAAUCUCGGAGCUUAACUCCGAAACUGCAUUCGAUACUGCCGUGCUUGAGGACUGGAGAGGAGACUGGAAUUUACGGUGUAGCGGUGAAAUGCGUAGAUAUCGUAAGGAAGACCAGUGGCGAAGGCGGGUCUCUGGACAGUUCCUGACGCUGAGGCACGAAAGGUCAGGGGGAGCAAAACGGGG